GCCGCCGCCGCGCUCCGAGGCCGCCGCCCCCGGCCGGCCGCUCCCAGGCACCGCCGCGACCUGCCCCGGCCGGCCCCGGGCUCUCGGCCGCCGCGGGAGGGCGUGGGGCGGGGGCGGCGGCCGCCGGACUCUCCCCUCGCCUCGCCGGGCCGGGCCGGGGCCGCGCUCGGGCGCCGGCGAUCGCCAAGUGACAGAGUGCCUCGCUCCGCUGCCGCGCCGAGCUGUUUCCCGGGGGCGGAUUUCUCGCUUCUUCCUCCCUGGAUCCACCUCCUCCCACUCCACCUCCUUCCCCUCCCCUCCCCAGGGGAGGCUCUGGGGCUGAAUAUUUUCUGUCUUGAAUAAUACGGUCCCGGGGACCGACGCUGGAGAAGGGGGAUUAGCUAGGAGGUGGGGGGGCGAGGGGGGCGGGGAGGGGUGCUCGCCAACCCCCUCACGAUGUGUCUGGGGACCUCCAAGCCCUGACCCCUCCCCUGCACCCCCUCAAAACCAGGCACACACAAAACCUUCUCCGCGCGCCCGAGCGCCGAGCGGGAGCGGCCGGGAACCCGGGCUGUGCUGGGAAGAGACUCGGGGCUCAGCAUCAGGGCCAGAGAGGGGGACUAUCACAUGGCUGGAUAUGCGGAAUUGAGGGAUCACAGGUCCCAGCCUGCGGGGGACACGUCUGGCUGAACGAACUCGGCGCUGGUAGCCGAAUAGAGGAAAGGUGGCCGCGCUGCUCCACCCUGCGGGUCCCGGCGGCUGCGGGUCCUGGAAGCUGCGGGCCCGGAGCAGAACCGCCGCCCCUCCCCACCCAGUGCUGCGGCCCGGCCACCGACCCGGGCGGCUCGCUCCGCCCCGCCGCGCCUCACAACAUCUCCCGCUGCAAAUGGCCCAAUGAGAAGACGCGACGAGAGAAGACGAGCCAAUCAGAGGCUGCUGACUCAGUCUUCCCCCCACCCUUUGCCCCACCCCCUGUAGGAUCGGCCACCGCCCCUCGGGCUCCCCUUCCCACCUCGCCCUCCGUCCCGGGAGGAGGCUCCCCGGCUCCCAUCCCCGCCCGCCUGAAGUGCAGUAGCCCGCCGAGACGGCGGCGUUUGUCGCCUUGUCACCCUCAUCCUCGCCCCCUCCCACACACACCCCUCCUCCCUUUCCCGGUCCUCCUGCUGCUGCUGUUGAGGGUCAUUUUUAUCCUCACUCCGGCGGGGGGACUGCCAGCUAUUGUGUCUGAUCAGCUGCCACCACCAUCCUGAGGGAAAAAAGGAACAAAACCAAGAAGCUCUAGAAUCUGCUUACCUUCGCCUUCUUUCUUACCACUCUAUCCCUUGAAAAUUUAGAGACGCC
rnacentral:lncRNA from 1 species